rnacentral:rRNA from 1 species
CAAGUCGAACGGAAAGGCCUCAGCUUGCUGGGGUACUCGAGUGGCGAACGGGUGAGUAACACGUGGGUGAUCUGCCCUGCACUUUGGGAUAAGCUUGGGAAACUGGGUCUAAUACCGAAUAUGACCACUUCUUGGAUGUUGUGGUGGAAAGCUUUUGCGGUGUGGGAUGAGCCUGCGGCCUAUCAGCUUGUUGGUGGGGUAAUGGCCUACCAAGGCGGCGACGGGUAUCCGGCCUGAGAGGGUGUACGGACACAUUGGGACUGAGAUACGGCCCAGACUCCUACGGGAGGCAGCAGUGGGGAAUAUUGCACAAUGGGCGCAAGCCUGAUGCAGCGACGCCGCGUGGGGGAUGAAGGCCUUCGGGUUGUAAACUCCUUUCGCUAUCGACGAAGCCUUCGGGUGACGGUAGGUAGAUAAGAAGCACCGGCUAACUACGUGCCAGCAGCCGCGGUAAUACGUAGGGUGCAAGCGUUGUCCGGAAUUACUGGGCGUAAAGAGCUCGUAGGUGGUUUGUCGCGUCGUCUGUGAAAUCCCGGGGCUUAACUUCGGGCGUGCAGGCGAUACGGGCAUAACUUGAGUGCUGUAGGGGAGACUGGAAUUCCUGGUGUAGCGGUGAAAUGCGCAGAUAUCAGGAGGAACACCGAUGGCGAAGGCAGGUCUCUGGGCAGUAACUGACGCUGAGGAGCGAAAGCAUGGGUAGCGAACAGGAUUAGAUACCCUGGUAGUCCAUGCCGUAAACGGUGGGCGCUAGGUGUAGGGGGCUUCCACGUCUUCUGUGCCGUAGCUAACGCAUUAAGCGCCCCGCCUGGGGAGUACGGCCGCAAGGCUAAAACUCAAAGGAAUUGACGGGG